CUCACCUGAGAGCCUCUGUCUUAUGGCUGGUGUUCCUGUUCUCUGCUGCACAGACCACACUGGGAAGGACACCCCCACAAAGGGCAGAGCCUACAGCUUGCUAUGUUAAUGGACUUAGCUCGCCUCCAGUGGAACUUUCUCCAUAGUGUCAUCAGGA